rnacentral:rRNA from 1 species
UCAAGUCAGCAUGGCCUUUAUGUCCAGGGCGACACACACGCUACAAUGGCCAGUACAAAGGGCAGCGAAGGGGCGACCUGGAGCGAAUCUCAACAAAGCUGGUCGUAGUUCGGAUUGCAGGCUGCAACUCGCCUGCAUGAAGCUGGAGUUGCUAGUAACCGCAGGUCAGCCAUACUGCGGUGAAUACGUUCCCGGGCCUU